rnacentral:lncRNA from 1 species
CAGACCUUAUGUGGCGUCUUUCUGAACUCCCCCAGCCGUCCGAGCUUCCAUAAUACCAUUCGGACUUCUCCGAUAAUGGGCUCCUCCAUUCAUCUACCGGGCUGCUCCAAACGCCUUCUGAGCUUCACUAUCAGCCGAUUUUCUACAGUGAUCGACUAUUCUCCGAAUCUCUUCCAGAUUUCUUCCAGCCAUGAUCGACUCCACUCCGAACUUUUAUUGUAAGUGGACUUCAUCCGAGCUCCUACAAAAGCCGGACUCCGUCCGAACUUCUACGGAGGAUGGAUCCCAAACGAACUUCUACAACGGACGGACUCCACCAGCCAGAUUUCUAUUUUGAACUUCUUCUGGACCUCGUCAAUGAUUGAGCUUCUCCAGCUGCGGGACUUCUACAAUAAGAAGUCUCCAUCCGAGCUUCCACGACAACUGAUCUUUGUCUGAGCUUCUACAAUAAGCGGACUUCGUCCGGACUCCUACAAGAGCCAGACUCCAUCCGAACUUCUACAACAGAAUUGAAUCCCGGACUCCUCCAACGUUCGACCUUCCCCAGUGUCCUCCUGACUCCUCCAGCGGAUGAACCUCCACAAUGCCAUUCGAACUUCACUGUAGGUCGAUCCUCUGUCGGAUUCCUCAUGAAACCAGAUCUCUCCGGCGGAUAGUCCUCAGACGAGCUUCUACAUUAGGCAAAUUCCAGACAAACUUCUCUAGCA